GAUGAACGCUGGCGGCGUGCUUAAUACAUGCAAGUCGAGCGAACGGAGGAGAAGCUUUCUUUUCUUCUAUUAGCGGCGGGCGGGUGUGUGACACGUGGAUCACCCCCCUCUAACAGUGGGAUAACUUCGGGGAACAGGAGCUCUUAUCGGAUAAACUUUUGAACCGCGUGGUUGAAGAGUGAAGGACGGUCUUGCCGUCACGUAUGGAUGGAUCCGCGCUGCAUUAGCAAGUUGGUAAGGUAACGGCUUACCAAGGCAACGAGGGAUACCCGACCUGAGAGGGUGAUGGGCCACACUGGAACUGAGACACGGCCCGGACUCCUACGGGAGGCAGCAGUAGGGAAUCUUCCGCAAUGGGCGAAAGCCUGACGGAGCAACGCCGCGUGAGUGAUGAAGGUCUUCGGAUCUUAAAACUCUGUUAUUAGGGAAGAACAUAUGUGUAAGUAACUGUGCACAUCUUGACGGUACCUAAUCAGAAAGCCACGGCUAACUACGUG
rnacentral:rRNA from 1 species